AUUCUUACCUGGCAGGGGAGAUGAUAUGAUCAGGAAUGUGGUUUUCCCAGGGCGAGGCUCAUCCCUUGUACUCCGUAGGUGUGAUUACCCCUGUGAUUUCCCCAAAUGCAGGAAACUCGACUGCAUAAUUUGUGAUAGUGAGGAAGUGCAUUCCUGCUUUCCCCU
rnacentral:snRNA from 1 species